CCAACCAGCAGCUCCCUUGGUAGGGGCAUGCAGAAGACCUGAUGACACAAACCCUCCAAAGAGUUUCACCCUCACCACAACAGGUGGCUUCCUGCUCGGCAGCCCAUCCUGCAUCACUUCAGUGGACUUCUCUGACAUCUACUAGACCACAUUAAAUGAAUCACAGCCUUGAAACUGAACUGGAAGGACUUCCUUCAAGGAGCCAGCAUAUGAACUUGCUGCCUAUCUUUAGCAAGGAGAUGCAAAUGACAUCCACAAACCUCUUCUGCUGUAUACCUGGAUGAAAGCAAGGCUAGCUGUGUGUCCUAUGGCACCAAGGACUGAAAGAUUGUAAGAAGUAAGAGUCCAUCAUAGAGGCCAAGCCAAAUACAACUAUGUUUUCAAGCAUAAGAUGGAUAGAUGUGGUAAACCACAAGAAGCAAACAGCCCUUUAGAGGUGUGGAUUGACCUUGCAGAGUUACAAGUGGAGCCAGGAGAAAUCAUGUUGAGUGGGACUUCUCAUCCUACCUAAGAGAGACUAACAGAUGGAAAGCUGGGUACAGAAGGGAGAGAAGGCAGUAACAGUCAGAUUUCAAUACGCUGAGACUGUGACGUGGGACUUUUGAGUGAGUAACAUCUGCUCCUAGAACUGAGUUGAGUGGGGAUCCUCCCACACCACCCAGGCAAGAGAACUAACAAUUGAUGACUGCUCCAAAUCAGUCGCCAGUCUACCUAAUACUUCUACCUGGUCUUGCUCUGUUGCCUGGCCUGAAGUGCAGUGGCAUGAUCAUGGCUCACUGCAGCCUCAACCUCCCAGGCACAAGUGAUCCUCCCACCUCAACUUCCAGAAUAUAGAAGCUGGAACUACAGUGACCUACAUCCAAAGUGAAAAGUUAUUCAGCCUCUGAAGAGAAGCAUUUUGUUUGGGGAUCUUCAAGUAUGCUUGUCAGCACCGAGAACUGGAAAAAAAUCUCUGAUUGUCCUGCAGCAAUGGCAUUAAAGGCUCCUCAUAACAUACAGAACCAGAAUUGUGCCAUAAUUUACUGAAAUUGAACAUUGCUCUGUGACUGCUAAUUUUCCAUCGAGAUGAUUCUGUCUCUAACCAAGAAAAGAAAAGUUUGUCUUCCUGACUGCUGACACUGCUGACCAAGCCCACCACCAGAUGCCUGGCUGCACACCCAGAGGGCAGCCGCUUCCCGUGGUCCUCUCGAAGAACUUCCCUUUUGCAAUGCAUGUUUAGCAAGUGGAUGAGUUUGUCUUUUCUGAUUUCUCUGCAAGCUCUGCAUUGCCCACCUGAACCAGUGCUUCAGAAGAACUAAUGGGAUCUCUGACCCUCCAACAUCCUCUUCCAGACUUUCACUUUCCUGGCUCCUUGCAGGGACAUGUAAUAAACGUGCUCUCCAGAGAAAGCCUG
rnacentral:lncRNA from 1 species